CAAGAGCUCAAGGAUGCUAACCAGAAUGACAAAAAUCCUGAGGAAGGUUUGCAACAAAGCCUUGAGGAAAUUCAAAAGGAGAAAGGGUUUUAAAAUUGGAUCCAGAUCUCUUUGGAGAUUUGUUGUGAUUGACAAAUCCAAAUUCAAAAAAGAGAAAGUACAAUCGUGGAAGGAUUGGUCCAACGUGGAGAAGAGAGGGAUGGGUGUUUGGGAUGCUGGAGGUCAAACACAACAGACGACACACAAUCCUUAAAAUGGUGACGGACCGUUCUCAGGAAACCUUGAUCCCUAUCAUCAGAAGACAUGUGCAAAGAGGUUCCACCAUUUUGAGUGACUGUUGGAGAGCAUAUGUCAGAUCUCUGAAUAGGCUGGGCUGCAAUCACCAAACAGUAAAUCACACCAACAACUUUGUGGAUCCUCAAAGUGGAUGCCACACACAACACAUUGAAAGAGCAUGGCAGACAAUAAAGGGGCAGGUCUGGAGACUAAGGGGUAAUCGGAGCAAAAAGUAAAAAAAAAAACAUCUACAUUUCAUUGAGUGGAUGUACUGGUUGGGUAAGAGAAAAUAAGAAUGGAAUACUCUGUCAACUCCUAAAAGACAUCCAAUCAAUGUAUCCGCUCUGAGAAAUCUGACAAUCUCAAUUAUAUGCAUCUUUAAAACCCAUCUGUGAUUAAAUAAGAAAAUAGUUAUUCUUUAUAUAUUCAUUGUUGAGUAUGAUUAAAAGUUGACUAGGGUUCGCAUUGGUAUUUUCCUUAGGAGCAAAAAAAUGACAUGUUUGGUCCAUUUUGGAGGGGCCACAUGUUUGGAGGGACCACUGCAAGUGCAAGUGAAUGUCCUUAUAGAUAGAUAUAUAUAUACUGGUCAAUUAGGAGUGGAGCUAACAUAAAUUGUGCAAUGCUGUUGUAAGUCUACUUUUGUUUUUAGUAGAGAUUUUGAUAUAUACAAUUUUAAAUUGAAUAACACUUUAUUGUUUAGUACACUUUUAAAACACUUAA